UACGGGGGGGGCAAGCGUUGUUCGGAAUUACUGGGCGUAAAGGGCUCGUAGGCGGUUUGUCGCGUCUGCUGUGAAAUCCCGAGGCUCAACCUCGGGCUUGCAGUGGGUACGGGCAGACUAGAGUGCGGUAGGGGAGAUUGGAAUUCCUGGUGUAGCGGUGGAAUGCGCAGAUAUCAGGAGGAACACCGAUGGCGAAGGCAGAUCUCUGGGCCGUAACUGACGCUGAGGAGCGAAAGCAUGGGGAGCGAACAGG
rnacentral:rRNA from 1 species